rnacentral:rRNA from 1 species
CAGUCGCCACGGGAAUACGGAGGGUGCAAGCGUUAAUCGGAAUUACUGGGCGUAAAGCGCACGCAGGCGGUCUGACAAGUCAGAUGUGAAAUCCCCGGGCUUAACCUGGGAACUGCAUUUGAAACUGUCAGGCUGGAGUCUUGUAGAGGGGGGUGGAAUUCCAGGUGUAGCGGUGAAAUGCGCAGAGAUCUGGAGGAAUACCGGUGGCGAAGGCGGCCCCCUGGACAAAGACUGACGCUCAGGUGCGAAAGCGUGGGGAGCAAACAGGAUUAGAUACCCGUGUAGUCCCUGUCUCUUAUAC